GGUUCCGUAGUUUGUCCAAGGUCAUGUGACCUGUAAGCACAUAAGCUGGGAUUCAAAGUGGGCCUGGCUCAGGCUAAUAGUCCUACCUAGUCACCCUCAGGAGACAGCACCUGAGAAUUCUCGUGCCUGGGGAUUCUCUCCAUGAUGUUCUACCUCCUUCUCCUUGUUCCAGACUUUCAUGGUUCAUGGAACCCACCCCUCAGGACUCCCCCGCUUUUCCGGCCACGGCUGCUCAAGGCAUUGGCUGCCCCUCCUCCACUGCAAACUUCUUCCCAAUCGUCCAUCUCAGCGGGCCAGCAGGGCCAGGGCAUCCCAGUGAAGUCCAAUAAGAUGAUGGAGCAAGGAAAAGGCAUGCAAUGUGCUUGUCCACUGCAAUUCCUUGCUUGCUGUUCACACAUAGAACGCUCCUGAGCCCCAGGAACACAGAAUCCCUCUAAGGGGGCCCACAGUCGUGGAAGUUCAGUGACACUGAAAGCAAGAAUGGCAAUAAAUAGAAGAUCAAAAUCACCAUGAGAAGCUGAAAGUGAGACCACAGAUGAAAGGAAGAACUUUAUAUUUAAGACCUUCAAUGGCACCUUUUCCCGACUUUUCAAACAAGGGGCUCCCUACUUUCCAUUUUGCAUGGGGUCCUGCAGAUUAUGUUGCCAGUUCUGUUUCUGACAGAAGACAUACAGAAAGUAAAUAUUAGGUGUUUAAAAAACAUGUUCCGUGAUCACAGAUCUCAUGAUUCACUCAUGGUGUGGAGCCUUCUGUUUUAUUUGGGUGUGGUGUGGGCUGGGCGUGUGCUCUGUUGCUCUGUGGGUGGAGGGUGGUAUGGUGGCCGUCACACGGAUGUGUUCCCUAUGUGAACAUGGAUAA